ACGGGAGGCAGCAGUGGGGAAUAUUGCACAAUGGGGAGAACCCUGAUGCAGCGACGCCGCGUGAGUGAAGAAGUAUUUCGGUAUGUAAAGCUCUAUCAGCAGGGAAGAAAAUGGCGGUACCUGACUAAGAAGCCCCGGCUAACUACGUGCCAGCAGCCGCGGUAAUACGUAGGGGGCAAGCGUUAUCCGGAUUUACUGGGUGUAAGGGGAGCGUAGACGGUAAUGCAAGUCUGAAGUGAAAACCCGGGGCUCAACCCCGGGACUGCUUUGGAAACUGUAUAACUGGAGUGCCGGAGAGGUAAGCGGAAUUCCUAGUGUAGCGGUGAAAUGCGUAGAUAUUAGGAGGAACACUAGUGGCGAAGGCGGCUUACUGGACGGUAACUGACGUUGAGGCUCGAAAGCGUGGGGAGCAAACAGGAUUAGAUACCCUGGUA
rnacentral:rRNA from 1 species